rnacentral:rRNA from 1 species
GCUGGCGGCGUGCCUAACACAUGCAAGUCGAACGAGAAAGUGGAGCAAUCCAUGAGUAAAGUGGCGCACGGGUGAGUAACACGUGACUAACCUACCCUGGAGUGGGGGAUAACUGAGGGAAACCUUAGCUAAUACCGCAUAACACCUACGGGUCAAAGGAGCAAUUCGCUUUAGGAGGGGGUCGCGGCAGAUUAUCUAGUUGGCGGGGUAAUGGCCCACCAAGGCAGUGAUCUGUAUCCGGCCUGAGAGGGCGCACGGACACACUGGAACUGAAACACGGUCCAGACUCCUACGGGAGGCAGCAGUGGGGAAUUUUGCGCAAUGGGGGAAACCCUGACGCAGCAACGCCGCGUGGAGGAUGAAGUCUCUUGGGACGUAAACUCCUUUCGAUUGGGAAGAUAAUGACGGUACCAAUAGAAGAAGCCCCGGCUAACUUCGUGCCAGCAGCCGCGGUAAUACGAGGGGGGCAAGCGUUGUUCGGAAUUAUUGGGCGUAAAGGGUGCGUAGGCGGUUUGGUAAGUCUUAUGUGAAAUCUUCGGGCUCAACUCGAAGUCUGCAUGAGAAACUGCCGGGCUUGAGUGUGGGAGAGGUGA